UUAUGAUUCAAAUCAGUUAGAACUUAAUGGAUUUUAUUACAAUUUUUGCCUAUCUAGUAUGUUUUCAAAGAUAUGCUCAGUAUAGUUGACACUGUCCUAGAAUAUUGUCAAAGAUGCAUCUUUAGGUUUCUCGAAUUAGCAGUUCUGCUGGGUUCCUUGGCUCUCUUGCUCCCAGGUUAUGGAUAUAGUAGAAUCCAUCUCAAUGGAUAUAGCAGUUACAUUCAAGACAGUUGCUAAGUUCAGGCCAAAAUAGAGACCCCAUAAUUCUGCAUCAAUAACUUGGCCAGCAGGUUAGCAGCAGACCUGCCACGAAUGAUACCACCAGGGCACCAGGCCCAACUUUAGUGAGCUCGAAGAACGAUAACCACUGAAGUUCAGGUUACCAGUAUAACAGGAAGCUUUUGUGUGAAGGCGAGCAAUAAGCCAAUCACUGAAGUUCAGGUUACCAGUUCGUUUAAGCCAAGCACGGAAUGGUGAUGUAUGGCUGCAGCUCAGCAGACAGAAUGAAAUUCAUUUGGAAGCAUUGGUAAACAGGACCUUCAAACAUUUCUGCUAUGGGCGGCCCAUCUUGGUUAUGCAAUUCCUUGGCAAAAAUUGAAGCACCUCCACCCACUGCUGAACUAAAACAUUCCAAGUAUAUAUUCAAUUAGACUAGAAGCAUGCCAACC